AUACGUAGGGUGCGAGCGUUAAUCGGAAUUACUGGGCGUAAAGCGUGCGCAGGUGGUUUUGUAAGUCAGAUGUGAAAUCCCCGGGCUUAACCUGGGAACUGCGUUUGAAACUGCAAGGCUAGAGUGUGGCAGAGGGGGGUGGAAUUCCGCGUGUAGCAGUGAAAUGCGUAGAUAUGUGGAGGAACACCGAUGGCGAAGGCAGCCCCCUGGGUCAGCACUGACGCUCAGGCACGAAAGCAUGGGGAGCAAACAGGAUUAGAAACCCCGGUAGUCC
rnacentral:rRNA from 1 species